UCCUGCUGUUCUCCGAUGGAGUAAAAAUGAAAUAAAGUACCUUUUCUCCCGAAUGACAAUAUUAUGAGGGCUAAAAGUCUUGUCAAGAUGCUGUGUGCUCUUUGGUAGAAGAGAUGGUAUAUAAAUCAAGAGAACACGUCCCCUCAUUUUUUUUUUUUAGAUUUUAUUUUUUCCCUUUUCUCCCAAAGCCCCCUGGUACACAGUUGUGCAUUUUUAGUUGUGGGUCCUUCGAGUUGUGGCAAGUGGGAAGCCGCCUCAGCAUGGCUUGAUGAGCAGUGCCAUGUCCACGCCUAGGAUUCGAACUGGCGAAACCCUGGGCCGCCGAAGCAGAGUGUGUGAACUUAACCACUCCGCCACCGGGCCAGCCCCUGGCCCCUCAUUUUGAUGUGCAGGAAGCCGGGGUCCCCAGGUGCUGGCUGCCUUGACAAUAUCUCACCAUCUAGAAUGGACGUCACCCCCGCCCCCCAGUUGCACUUCAGAACACCUAGGAAUGAGAAAGAGAUCACAGAAGGCUGGAGAGGAGGAGGGAGGUACUGGCAGAGGGGCGGCUGUCAAGAGCGAGCCAAGCUUCCUCCAGGGACCCCAGGUUUGGGAUAAAGUUCCAAAAGUGGCACUUCUGGAAAAUUAUCUCAAGGAAAAUAUCACUUAGACUUGCAAAAAUGCGUGCACGAGGGUGUCCAGGGAACGCUGUGGAUCCCAGCCCCCAGCUCCCAGGCCCCACAAGCUCCUUUCGUGAAGAUGGACCUUCUCGUCGCUCCCACCGGCAUUCACUUCCAUCUUGCUUGCUGCCGUAUCCCUGGACCUAGAAGACUGCACAGCCACGGUCUAGUAAACUGAGGACUGGAGAAAUCACCCUGGACCUGAGCAAGAGGGCAGCCAGGAAGACGCUAUGCCAACAACGCCUGCCAACAUUUCAGGAAAAAUAAUUGAAAUAAUAAAUAAUUCUGAUUAGGCCGAUAAACCUGGAGGCUGAGGGCAGGACGGAUGCUGAUCUUCCUGACUGAAUCCCGCCAGUUACCUAGAACACGCUGUGUAGAACGUUCUCUUGGAUGUUUGCUGAUCAGCUAUGAUGCCAGGCAGUGAAAGGGCAUCGGGACAACAGUGUCUGUCCCGUGCUCUGUGAAACGGACACAGCACGACUUCACAGGGACACUUUGCAGAGCAGACUUCAGGAAACAAACAGAGCUUAAAAAUAAGCAUUUCCUAAAUAUGGAAAUGAGAAAACGGUGACAUCACUAGAGAAGACCCAAAGACUUUUUUUUUUUCCACCUUAAAUGUUGCCUACCUCUUUUGGGCCAAUAAAUAAAUCUAAGCUUCAGAAGUAAUUUUGAAAAGUUUC
rnacentral:lncRNA from 1 species